GGGUGCGGUCAUACUUGCUCUAGUGCACCGGAUCCUAUAUGAACUCCGAAGUUAAGCGUGCUUGAGUAAAAGUAGUACUCCAAAGUUAAGCGUGCUUGGGCAAGAGUAGUAUUAGGAUGGGUGACGUACUGGGAAGUCCUUGUGUCACACCCC
rfam:Amborella trichopoda AMTR_V1.0_contig_12316, whole genome shotgun sequence.